GGCUGGUCUGAAGGCAGAGAGUUAUCCCAAUUGAUGGUUCACAGUCAGGUGCAGAUCCAGCUCCUUCUUCUACUCUUUUCCUCUUUCUCACUACUGCACUUGGCUAGUCAAAG
rnacentral:Y_RNA from 1 species